rnacentral:rRNA from 1 species
CGACUGGCGACCGGCGCACGGGUGAGUAACACGUAUCCAACCUGCCGAUAACUCGGGGAUAGCCUUUCGAAAGAAAGAUUAAUACCCGAUGGUAUAAUCAGACCGCAUGGUUUGAUUAUUAAAGAAUUUCGGUUAUCGAUGGGGAUGCGUUCCAUUAGGCAGUUGGUGAGGUAACGGCUCACCAAACCUUCGAUGGAUAGAGGUUCUGAGAGGAAGGUCCCCCACAUUGGAACUGAGACACGGUCCAA